UACGGGGGGGGCAAGCGUUGUUCGGAGUUACUGGGCGUAAAGAGUGCGUAGGCGGUUUUCUAAGUUUGGUGUGAAAUCUCCCGGCUUAACUGGGAGGGUGCGCCGAAGACUGGAAGGCUUGAGUAUGGGAGAGGUAAGCGGAAUUCCUGGUGUAGCGGUGAAAUGCGUAGAUAUCAGGAGGAACACCUGCGGCGAAAGCGGCGCGCUGGACCACUACUGACGCUGAAGAACGAAAGCUAGGGGAGCAAACAGG
rnacentral:rRNA from 1 species